GGUUGAUCCUGCCUGAUGUCACUGCUAUCGGGGUCGAUUAAAGCCAUGACGAGUCAGCGAGGGUUCAGACCCUCGUGUGUGACUGCUCAGUAACACGUGGAUAACCUGACCUGUGGUGGAGCAUAACCCCGGGAAACUGGGGAUAAUACUCCAUAAGUUACGAUAUCUGGAAUGAUUUGUCGCUCAAAGCUCCGGCGCCACAGGACUGUGAUCUGCGGCCGAUUAGGUAGUAGUUGGGGUAGAGGCCCACACUAGCCUGUAAUCGGUACGGGUUGUGGGAGCAAGAGCCCGGAGAUGGAAUCUGAGACACGAUUCCAGUGACCCUACUGGGGCUGCAGCAGGCUGCUGAAAACUUUACAAAUUGCAGGACACUGUGAUAAAGGGAACCCCUGAGUGCCCGUACACGCGGGCUGUCUGGGUGUUUAAAAAUGCACCCAAUAGAACACGGGCCUGGUGCAAGACCAGGUGCCAUGACCGACGCUGUUAAUACCGGCGUGCUCCGAGUGGUGCCACUUUAUUGGGCUUAAAGCGUCGUAGCUGGACUGCUAAAUCCCUUGGGAAAUCCUGCGUGAUUAAACGGAGGACGUCUACGGGAUACCUUGAAAUCUUG
rnacentral:rRNA from 1 species